rnacentral:lncRNA from 1 species
UAUCAUAUAAUUUUUAUUAUUUAUCAAUUCAUACACAUUUAUAAUCAGUACAAUCAUCAAACGAUUAUCUUUAGGAUAUAAUUCCCAACAAAUGGAUCCAUUAGUAUGAUGAUCAUUGGAGGUGCAAAGACCUGGUGCUCAUUUGCUAUUGAUAUUAUUAUUCAUAAUAUGAUGACUCAGUAGAGUCUCUUUGGCGAGUGGUUAGGUUUGCCUGUCAAAGUCGGACCUGAUCAUUUGGUAGCCAAAUUUUUGAGUAUAAUCAUGUUAAUAGUUGGACCUAACCAAGGCUUGCAGAG